rnacentral:rRNA from 1 species
UACGGGGGGAGCAAGCGUUGUUCGGAUUUACUGGGCGUAAAGGGCGCGUAGGCGGUCGUGACAAUUCACUUUUGAAAUCUCCGGGCUUAACUCGGAACGGUCAAGUGAUACUGUCGGACUAGAGUACAGAAGGGGCAACUGGAAUUCUCGGUGUAGCGGUGAAAUGCGUAGAUAUCGAGAGGAACACCUGCGGCGAAGGCGGGUUGCUGGGCUGAUACUGACGCUGAGGAGCGAAAGCGUGGGUAGCAAACAGG